rnacentral:rRNA from 1 species
AUUGAACGCUGGCGGCAGGCUUAACACAUGCAAGUCGAGCGGUAGAGGGGGGCUUGCUUCCCUUGAGAGCGGCGGACGGGUGAGUAAUGCCUAGGAAUCUGCCUGGUAGUGGGGGACAACGGUCGGAAACGGACGCUAAUACCGCAUACGUCCUACGGGAGAAAGUGGGGGAUCGUCGGACCUCACGCUAUCAGAUGAGCCUAGGUCGGAUUAGCUAGUUGGUAGGGUAAAGGCCUACCAAGGCGACGAUCCGUAACUGGUCUGAGAGGAUGAUCAGUCACACUGGAACUGAGACACGGUCCAGACUCCUACGGGAGGCAGCAGUGGGGAAUAUUGGACAAUGGGCGCAAGCCUGAUCCAGCCAUGCCGCGUGUGUGAAGAAGGUCUUCGGAUUGUAAAGCACUUUAAGUUGGGAGGAAGUUCAGUAAGUUAAUACCUUGUUGAAUUGACGUUACCGACAGAAUAAGCACCGGCUAACUAUGUGCCAGCCGCCGCCGUAAAAC